rnacentral:rRNA from 1 species
AGUGAACGCUGGCGGUAGGCCUAACACAUGCAAGUCGAACGGCAGCACAGGAGAGCUUGCUCUCUGGGUGGCGAGUGGCGGACGGGUGAGGAAUACAUCGGAAUCUACUCUGUCGUGGGGGAUAACGUAGGGAAACUUACGCUAGUACCGCAUACGACCUACGGGUGAAAGCAGGGGACCUUCGGGCCUUGCGCGGUUGAAUGAGCCGAUGUCGGAUUAGCUAGUUGGCGGGGUAAAGGCCCACCAAGGCGACGAUCCGUAGCUGGUCUGAGAGGAUGAUCAGCCACACUGGAACUGAGACACGGUCCAGACUCCUACGGGAGGCAGCAGUGGGGAAUAUUGGACAAUGGGCGCAAGCCUGAUCCAGCCAUACCGCGUGGGUGAAGAAGGCCUUCGGGUUGUAAAGCCCUUUUGUUGGGAAAGAAAUCCAGCUGGCUAAUACCCGGUUGGGAUGACGGUACCCAAAGAAUAAGCACCGGCUAACUUCGUGCCAGCAGCCGCGGUAA